AAUGAUAUGCCUGAUUAAAGGAUUAUUUUGAUGUAAUAAAAAAAGUAAUAAAAAUUUACUAUCAUUA
rnacentral:tRNA from 1 species